rnacentral:rRNA from 2 species
UGAGGAAUAUUGGUCAAUGGAGGCAACUCUGAACCAGCCAAGUAGCGUGCAGGAUGACGGCCCUAUGGGUUGUAAACUGCUUUUAUGCGGGGAUAAAUGAUCCUACGUGUAGGAUUUUGCAGGUACCGCAUGAAUAAGGACCGGCUAAUUCCGUGCCAGCAGCCGCGGUAAUACGGAAGGUCCAGGCGUUAUCCGGAUUUAUUGGGUUUAAAGGGAGCGUAGGCGGCCUGUUAAGCGUGUUGUGAAAUGUAGAGGCUCAACCUCUGCACUGCAGCGCGAACUGGCGGGCUUGAGUUGGCUGAAAGUAUGCGGAAUUCGUGGUGUAGCGGUGAAAUGCUUAGAUAUCACGAAGAACUCCGAUUGCGAAGGCAGCAUGCUGUAGCCUUACUGACGCUGAAGCUCGAAGGUGCGGGUAUCGAACAGG